GGCAAAAGUACCGGCUGCAGUCUCAGAGCAUCGAGACCGCACGUCUGUACCGUGGGGACAUUGGCUCCUCCCUCUGGCCACUGUAUUUCUUGAACUGUACCUGGAAGGUGCCCUGACCCACGACUCGGUUCUCCUGGUAAUUGCAAAGGUGGCUGUUAGGGGCACAUAGAUGCUGCUUCUUCAGGCUAGGGAUAGCCUGCUUCAAUGUGGACCACAGCAUGAUGGUCAGUGAUAACCCUGUGUCGAUCUCCAUCUCGCAUGGAGAGCCCUUGAUGAGGAUUGUGACCUUCAGGUUUUUUGGCCACCUAGUGCGGACUUGGCCAAUUGAGGCGUGGUAGGUGACUCUGGUGUCACCCUCUGAAUGCUGUGGUGGCUUCUGCCAUGCCCCUUGGUUGGGCCUUUGCUGGUGGUUAGCUCAGUUUCUUGGCUGCCACGUCAUCGUGGGGUGCUCGCUUCUGCAAACUUUGGCGAUGUGCCCUUUUUGCUCACAGUACUGGCAGAUAGCACCAUGGAAAUGUCAAGCCGAUCGGGCAUGGUCUCCUCUGCAGCUAGCGUAAGGCAGGAAUCAUGGUUCGAAUUUCUGUGCUGGCUUCACAUGGCUAUUGUGCAAACGGCAGCUGUCAGUAGCUAUGUGUGCUUUCACGCAUCUUGUGGAGUACUUUGGCACUGCGGGAUUUCUGUUGACUUGACAGCCAAUUCCUGGGUUCGUCCAAGGCAAUUUGUAGAGUGAGGUUAGAUUUGGCGAGUAACCUCCUCUGUAAAUUAAUGUCCUGCACACCGCAUAUGAUGCAGCCAAGAAUAAAGGUCUUGGAACUCGGAGUAUGCUGCAGCUUUUGGUAGCACCACAAUGUAGUUGUUGAUUGAUUCACCUUUUUUCUGGUUGUGAAUAUUAAAUUCGUGCCGGCAACGUACUUAGACAGCUUGGGAGCACAGUGAGUCCUCAGCGUCUGCUGGAGCACGGACCAAGUGACCGAUUGUAACUGGGAGGCAGAGGCUAAAGGGUUGGGGCCGGUGAGUGGGAGGGGCUACAUUCAGUGUAUGAGACACACCCAAAUUUUCAGCCUCUUUUGGGGGGAAAAGUUGCGUCUUAUACUCCGAAAAAUACUGUAAUAACUCAUCAAGUGGAAUUUAUUUUCUGUGUUCAGAAAUUCUCUCUUUAGCUAUAAAUAAGUUUUAUCUGGAGUUGGUUAAGAAAUGAUGAUCCCUGUCCCAUAGGAAACAGUGAAACCCAGCAUUUGCCGAAGGAUGCAGAGUGCGAUUAGAUGCAUGAGAAUUCAGGAUUGAAGAAAGAAUGAAGGACAGUUCAGCAUGUCAGAAGAUGAGUUCAAACUACAUUUAGUAAGAUAGUGCAACUGUUGCAGUGUUUAAAAUCUCAGAAAAUUUCUGAAAGGAAGUCAAAAGAUGCAAUGACCUUAGCAACAUAGAUUGUCAAUAUUAAUUUCCCAAAGUGAUCUUUUAAUAUAUCCAGUUCAUGUCCCAACAAUACAUUUCAUUCCUUUCAUGUACAGGGACUAAAUAGUCUCAUUAUUUCUUUCUUUUCCUUCAUCUAGCCAAUUGUCCCUAUGUUUACACAAAAUACUAGAAAAGCAUAUGUAACAUAUGGAAAUAUAAACUCAAAGGGCAAUAGAGGCUUUAUGGGACAAACACCAGGAAACCCCAGGAAGCAUAUUGCAUGCUCUUAGGCAAUGCUUUGAGACUCAUAACAAAGAAAAACAGUUUUAAAACAGCAAUUUAAGCUUUUGUUCUACCUUAAUGUCCAGAUCCAAAAUUGCAGUUAGUUAUACAAAUCCCUCUUCAAGACUCUGGACCAGCUUAAAUUCAAACCGGAAGAGAAGCUGGGAACAUCUUACUCUUUUGCCGAGUGAAGAAAAGGAAGGAGAAGAAAGCAAAGCAGAACAAAACAAAAACAAAAAAAAAACAAAACAAAAAAAAACAAACCCCUUCGUAUUUCCCAGUUUGAAUUCCGUUAUUAUUCUGUUGUUAUUCUUUCCCUUGGCAGGUCCGGUCUCUUGUGGCUGCUCGCAAUAUAUCACAUGAAGACAGGCUUGCAUAGUGAUGCAAUUUCAAAAGUUCUGAUUUAUAGCAUUAGUUAAUUAAAAACUCCCUCACAAUGAAAGUUAGGCAAAAGUUAAGUAAGAAGAAGUGCUUUUUUUUUUGAGUUAAGAUAUAUCAAUUGGAAAGAGUUCAAAAAAAAAUAAAUCUUUCAAAGUAUUUGGUUUCUUUUCUUUUUCAAAUAAAAAACCAAGUUUAAAAUUUUA